UACGUAGGCAGCGAGCGUUGUUCGGAGUUACUGGGCGUAAAGAGUGCGUAGGCGGUGUUCCAAGUCUGUUGUGAAAUCUCCCGGCUCAACUGAGGAAGUGCACCCGAAACUGGCGAGCUUGAGUACGAAAGAGGAUCGCGGAAUUCCCGGUGUAGAGGUGAAAUUCGUAGAUAUCGGGAGGAACACCGGUGGCGAAGGCGGGUCUCUGGGCCGAUACUGACGCUGAGGAGCGAAAGCGUGGGGAGCGAACAGG
rnacentral:rRNA from 1 species